rnacentral:rRNA from 1 species
UACGAAGGGGGCAAGCGUUGUUCGGAAUUACUGGGCGUAAAGGGCGCGUAGGCGGCCGAUCAAGUCAGGCGUGAAAUUCCCGGGCUCAACCUGGGGGCUGCGGUGGGUACGGGGCAGACUAGAGUGGAUGUAGGGGGAGACUGGAAUUCCUGGUGUAGCGGUGAAAUGCGCAGAUAUCAGGAGGAACACCGAUGGCGAAGGCAGGUCUCUGGGCAUUAACUGACGCUGAGGAGCGAAAGCAUGGGGAGCGAACAGG